rnacentral:tRNA from 1 species
AAAGGGAGACCUAAUUCGGGUAUAAGACGAAAAAAUAGUAGUCGAAACCAAGAAUCAAUCCCAAAAGGUCGGAACGAGGUAUGUGGCUUUCAAACUAGGUUCUGGGUUCAUAAAAGACCUGAAUCAGGAACAAGGGCUAUUAGCUCAGGUGGUUAGAGCGCACCCCUGAUAAGGGUGAGGUCCCUGGUUCGAGUCCAGGAUGGCCCACCUGCACAGGUGGCAAAAACAAAGAAAAGAAGCGAGGAAUCAGCACCUUAUCUUACAUAUAUAGUAAGAGAGAAUGCUGGCUCUGAGUACAGGGUCCAGAGGAACCUUGAAAACUGCAUAGAGCUAGGUGAAAAAGCCAAAAAAGAAGACCGCAAG